CCUACGGGAGGCAGCAGUGGGGAAUAUUGCACAAUGGGGGAAACCCUGAUGCAGCGACGCCGCGUGAGUGAAGAAGCAUUUCGGUGCGUAAAGCUCUAUCAGCAGGAAAGACAAUGACGGUACCUGACUAAGAAGCCCCGGCUAACUACGUGCCAGCAGCCGCGGUAAUA
rnacentral:rRNA from 1 species